CAGCACUAAGAAGAUGUGUCCGAUAAACUGAGACUACCUCUUGAUGCUGCCUUUUAGCAUCAGCUAGCUGUUGUUGCAGUGUUUUUACUUGGUUCUGGAGCAUUUCUACCUGCUGGUUCUGCCUCUUCGCAGGAAUCCCACUGGUGUACGUAAGCUGAGACAAGCCAUUAAGAGCUUGUUUUAAUCGUUCCACAUCAUUAAGCAGCUCUGUUAUCUUGUUAUCCUUGGCUUCCACCUGCUUUGCAGACUCCUGUAUUCUUUUCUGCAAGUCAAUAAUUGUAGUCAGUGAUUUAUCACACCUCUCUUUC
rnacentral:lncRNA from 1 species